rnacentral:rRNA from 1 species
UAAGGAAUAUUGGUCAAUGGACGCAAGUCUGAACCAGCCAUGCCGCGUGAAGGAUGAAGGUCCUCUGGAUUGUAAACUUCUUUUAUCUGGGACGAAAACGGGAUUUUUAUCUCAAUUGACGGUACCAGAGGAAUAAGCACCGGCUAACUCCGUGCCAGCAGCCGCGGUAAUACGGAGGGUGCGAGCGUUAUCCGGAUUUACUGGGUUUAAAGGGUGCGUGGGUGGGCUUAUAAGUCAGUGGUGAAAUCUCCGAGCUUAACUUGGAAACUGCCGUUGAUACUAUAGGUCUUGAAUUAUCUGGAGGUAAGCGGAAUAUGUCAUGUAGCGGUGAAAUGCUUAGAUAUGACAUAGAACACCAAUUGCUAAGGCAGCUUACUACAUAUAAAUUGACGCUGAGGCACGAAAGCGUGGGGAUCAAACA